UGUUUAGUUUUUGUGGGCAUUCGGUGGAUGCCUUGGUACCAAGAGCUGAUGAAGGACGUGGCGGCCUGCGAUAAUCCUUGGGGAGUUGGCGAGCGAGCGUUGAUCUGAGGGUGUCCGAAUGGGGGAACCUGGCUGGGGUUGUGCCUGGUCACUAUCAUCUGAAUUCAUAGGGUGGUAGGGGGAACGCGGGGAAGUGAAACAUCUUAGUACCCGUAGGAGAAGAUAUUUCGUCAGUAGUGGUGAGCGAAAGCGGAUGAUGGCUAAACCGUGUGCGUGUGUGACUCGGCGGGGGUUGCGUGUGCGGGGUUGUGGGGCUCUUUUUUCUCAUCUUCUGCCGGGGGUGGGGGUGUGUGCGUGUGCGUGUGGUGAACAUCUUGGGAUGGGUGACCGUAGUGCGUGAUAGUCGUGUAGCUGUGUGUGUGCGUGUGUGCCAAAGGGGUGCCCGAGUAGUGCGGGGCUCGUGGAAUCUCGUGUGAAUCUGCCAGGACCACCUGGUAAGCCUGAAUACUUUUUGGUGACCGAUAGUGCAUAGUACCGUGAGGGAAUGGUGAAAAGUACCCCGGGAGGGGAGUGAAAUAGUGCCUGAAACCGGGUGCCUGUAAGCCGUCAGAGCCUGCUUUUGUUGGGUGAUGGCGUGCCUUUUGAAGAAUGAGCCUGCGAGUCAGUGAUGCGUGGCGUGCUUAACCCGUGUGGGGGAUGCGUAGCGAAAGCGAGUCUUAAUUUUGGGCGUGUGUCGCGUGUUGUGGACCCGAAGCGGGGUGAUCUACCUAUGGUCAGGGUGAAGCUAUGGUAAGACGUGGUGGAGGCCCGUACCCACCAGGGUUGAAAACCUGGGGGAUGAACUGUGGGUAGGGGUGAAAGGCCAAUCAAACUCCGUGAUAGCUGGUUCUCCCCGAAAUGCAUUUAGGUGCAGCGUCACACUGGGCUUGGUGGAGGUAGAGCUACUGGUUGGUUGAUGGGCCGUGUUGGUUACUGACGUCAGCUAAACUCCGAAUGCCAUUUCAAGUGGGUGUGGCAGUGAGACUGCGGGGGAUAAGCUUCGUGGUCGAGAGGGAAACAGCCCAGAUCAUCGGCUAAGGCCCCUAAGCGUGCGCUGAGUGGGAAAGGAUGUGGAGUCGCGUUGACAGCCAGGAGGUUGGCUUAGAAGCAGCCAUCCUUGAAAGAGUGCGUAAUAGCUCACUGGUUGUUUUUGGGUAGGGGAGCGUCCUGCUCUGGGUGAAGCUGCCUGGUGAUGGGUGGUGGACGGGGUGGGAGUGAGAAUGCAGGCAUGAGUAGCGUUUCGUGGGUGAGAAUCCUACGCGCUGAUUGACUAAGGGUUCCAGGGGCAGGUUUGUCCGCCCUGGGUUAGUCGGGUCCUAAGGCGAGGCCGACAGGCGUAGUCGAUGGGUGACCAGUUGAUAUUCUGGUACCGUUUGUUUUCCGUCUGACGCUGCAUGCUUUCGCGUCGUGUGCUUGCCGUGCGUGGUGUUGUCUUUCGGGAUGAUGCUGAGUGUGGCUGUGUGUGGUGUGGGGUGUGUGGUGAGCAUUGGGGUGACGCAGGGAGGUAGUUGCUGCACACUGGUGGUUAUGUGUGUCUAAGGUUGUGGCCUGUUUCUUGGGUGAAAUCCGGGAAGCUGCGUUUGAUCGCGUGGGUGAGGGCUGAUGGGGCUGCCUGUUGGGGUGGCUAGUGGUGAUCCUGUACUGCCGAGAAAAGCCUGGAUGUGAGGAAGAUGAGCGCCCGUACCCUAAACCGACUCUGGUGGUCAGGUAGAGUAUACCGAGGCGUGCGAGUGAAUCAUGGUUAAGGAAUUCGGCAAAUUGCCCCCGUAACUUUGGGAUAAGGGGGGCCCUGCUGGUGUGCCUGCUUUUGCGUGGGUGGUGCUGGUUGGGGUCGCAGAGAAUUGGGAGAAGCGACUGUUUAUUAAAAACAUAGGUGUGUGCUAAGCCGUAAGGCGCUGUAUACGCACUGACGCCUGCCCGGUGCUGGAAGGUUAAGAGGACGACUUAACUGCUUUUUUGUGGUGAAGGUUUGAAUUUAAGCCCCAGUAAACGGCGGUGGUAACUAUAACCAUCCUAAGGUAGCGAAAUUCCUUGUCGGGUAAGUUCCGACCUGCACGAAUGGCGUAACGACUUCUCCGCUGUCUCGACCGUGAUCUCGGUGAAAUUGCAGUACGAGUAAAGAUGCUCGUUUCGCGCAGCAGGACGGAAAGACCCCGGGACCUUUACUAUAGCUUGGUAUUGGUGUGUGUUUGUGCUUGUGUAGGAUAGGUGGGAGACUGUGAUGCCGUGCCGCUAGGUGUGGUGGAGUCGUUGGUGAAAUACCAUUCUGGUUCAAGUAUGCAUCUAACUUGGAGCCCUGAUCGGGUUUGGGGACAGUGCCUGGUGGGUAGUUUAACUGGGGCGGUUGCCUCCUAAAGGGUAACGGAGGCGCUCAAAGGUUCUCUCAGCCUGGUUGGUGAUCAGGUGGUGAGUGUAAGUGCACAAGAGGGCUUGACUGUGACACUGACGGGUGGAGCAGGUACGAAAGUAGGAACUAGUGAUCCGGCCAUGGCUUGUGGAAGCGUGGUCGCUCAACGGAUAAAAGGUACCCCGGGGAUAACAGGCUGAUCUUGCCCAAGAGUCCAUAUCGACGGCAUGGUUUGGCACCUCGAUGUCGGCUCGUCGCAUCCUGGGGCUGGAGUUGGUCCCAAGGGUUGGGCUGUUCGCCCAUUAAAGCGGUACGCGAGCUGGGUUUAGAACGUCGUGAGACAGUUCGGUCCCUAUCCGCUGCGCGCGUUGGAAACUUGAUGAAGGCCCGUCCCUAGUACGAGAGGACCGGGAUGGACGAACCUCUGGUGUGCCAGUUGUACUGCCAGGUGCAUUGCUGGUUGGCUACGUUCGGUUGGGAUAACCGCUGAAAGCAUCUAAGCGGGAAGCUUUCUUCGAGAUGAGGUUUCCGUGCCCCCGUUGUGGGGGUGGGAGGUCCCCAGUAGAUGACUGGGUUGAUAGGCCAGAGGUGGAAGCAUUGUGAGGUGUUGUGAGCCGACUGGUACUAAUGGGCCGAUUCUAAACCAA
rnacentral:rRNA from 1 species